rnacentral:rRNA from 1 species
UUUCUCGAAAGUAAAAGAUCUAAGUUAGUUUGUUAGUUUUUGUGGCAAAAAAAUUGAGAAAAUUGAUUUAGGUAUGAAAUGUUUGUCGUUUUUACUAAUAUCUAGUAAUUUCAGAAAUAAGUUUAGUUUAGAUUUUUGAGGGUUUCUUAUUUUUGAUAAGAUCUUAUGUUUUAGGGGAUGAGCUCUAAAAUAAAUUUAAAAGGAAAUAAAGGAUUAAGUUUUAAAUAGGCUUAGAAUUGGUCAUAAGAUAGUGUUAUAAGAUAAAAAUUUAAGGUUAUGAUUUAUUUUUCUUUGAAAUUUAUGAAAUUAAAUAUGAAAUGAAGAUAAAAUUGAGAAUAUGAUAGUAUGAGUAGAUAAAAAUUUGAAUUUUACAUAGAAAUAGGAAAAAAAAAUUGUAACAAAAGAACUCGGCAAAAAAGAUUUCCGAAUGUUUAGCAAAAACAUUUCCUCCUAGUUAUGGGAGGUAAGGCCUGCUCACUGAAAUUUAAAGAGCCGCAGUAUCCUGACUGUGCUAAGGUAGCAUAAUCAUUAGUCUUUUAAUUGGAGACUGGUAUGAAUGGUUAAACGAGAAAUCGACUUUUUUUGUUAUAAUAAUUGAAUUUAAUUUUUUAGUGAAAAAGCUAAAAUAUUUCAGAAAGACGAGAAGACCCUAUAGAGUUUUAUAUUUUAGAAAAUUUUUUUUUAUUAGAUUUUUUUGAAUAAAAUUUUCGAUAGUAUUUUGUUGGGGCGACAUUAAGAUAAAAGAAACUCUUUAUUUUUAAAACUUUUUUGAAAGAAUUGUUUGAUCCUUUAAAAAAGAUCAAAAGAAAAAAUUACCUUAGGGAUAACAGCGUAAUCUUUUUUGAGAGUUCUAAUCGACAAAAAGGUUUGCGACCU